CUCCAUGAAGUUGGAUUCGCUAGUAAUCGCGCAUCAGCCAUGGCGCGGUGAAUACGUUCCCGGGCCUUGUACACACCGCCCGUCAAGCCAUGGGAGCUGGGGGUGCCUGAAGUUCGUGACCGCAAGGAUCGACCUAGGGCAAAACCGGUGACUGGGGCUAAGUCGUAACAAGGUACC
rnacentral:rRNA from 1 species